rnacentral:rRNA from 1 species
GUACCAAAAACAUAGCCAAAAUAAAUUUUUGAUGGGAUCUGGUCAGUGGAAAUAUAUAAACUUAAAAUAUUUUUAAACACACGCCUUAGCGUGAGGGUGGUAAUGUAGCAUAAUCAGUUGGCAUUUAAUUGAUGUCUAGUAGGAAUGGUGAAACGAUUUUAUAUUUGUCUCAAAUUUUCAAAGRUUAAAAUUUAGAUAUACAGUCAAGAUACUGUARCCGAAUUAACAGACGAGAAGACCCCAUAAACCUUUACUAUAAAUUUUAUUGAAUUCAAAAAUUAAUUAAUGAAAACUUUAAUAAAUUUUGGUAGUUUAGCUGGGGCGGCAAUCUUCUAAAAUAAUGAACGAAGAGAUAACUUUGAUUAUAUUAAAUUAUAAUUUAUUGUUUUUGUUUAAAUUAAUAUUUUAACAUUAUUAAAAAUGAUAAUUUGACCUCUUUUUCAGAAAAAAUCAUUAAUUAAUAAAAGGUACUUUGGGGAUAACAGCGUUAUCUAAAAAUAGAGAUGAAAUUAAUUUUUAGGUUUGCGACCUCGAUGUUGAAUUGAGAUACCCCGAAAAUGCAGAAGUUUUCAAAGGUUGGAUUGUUCAUCCAUUAAAAUCUUACAUGAUUUGAGU